UACGUAGGGUGCGAGCGUUAAUCGGAAUUACUGGGCGUAAAGCGUGCGCAGGCGGUUUUGUAAGCCAGAUGCGAAAGCCCCGGGCUCAACCUGAGAAUGGCAUUUGGGACUGCAAGGCUUGAGUGCGGCAGAGGAGACUGGAAUUCCUGGUGUAGCAGUGAAAUGCGUAGAUAUCUGGAGGAACACCGGUGGCGAAGGCGGCAUCCUGGACCAAUUCUGACACUGAGGAGCGAAAGCCAGGGGAGCAAACGGG
rnacentral:rRNA from 1 species